rnacentral:rRNA from 1 species
GACGAACGCUGGCGGCGUGCUUAACACAUGCAAGUCGAGCGGUAAGGCCCUUUCGGGGGUACACGAGCGGCGAACGGGUGAGUAACACGUGGGUGACCUGCCCUCAGCUCUGGGAUAAGCCUGGGAAACCGGGUCUAAUACUGGAUAUGACUCCAUGACGCAUGUUGUGGGGUGGAAAGCCUUGUGCGGCUGAGGAUGGGCCCGCGGCCUAUCAGCUUGUUGGU